rnacentral:rRNA from 1 species
AAUGAACGCUGGCGGCGUGCUUAACACAUGCAAGUCGAGCGAGAAAGCUUCUUCGGAAGUGAGUAAAGCGGCGGACGGGUGAGUAAUACGUAAGAAUUUACCUUUUAGUGAAGAAUACCUUCAAGAAAUUGAGGUUAAUACUGCAUACGUCCCUCCGGGGAGAAAGGUGGCUUUUAUGCUGCCGCUAAAAGAUGAGCUUGCGGGCUAUUAGCUAGUUGGUACGGUAAAGGCGUACCAAGGCAAUGAUGGCUAGCCGGCCUGAGAGGGUGUUCGGCCACAUUGGAACUGAGACACGGUCCAGACUCCUACGGGAGGCAGCAGUGGGGAAUAUUGCGCAAUGGGCGAAAGCCUGACGCAGCGACGCCGCGUGGAGGAUGAAGGCUUUUGGGUCGUAAAUUCCUGUUAGAUGGGAAGAAAAGCCUAUUUUUAAUAAAAAUGGGCACUGACGGUACCAUCAAAGAAAGCACCGGCUAACUUCGUGCCAGCCGCCGCCGUAACAC